UCGAGAAUCUUUCGCAAUGGGCGAAAGCCUGACGGAGCGACGCCGUGUGAGCGAAGAAGGCCUUCGGGUUGUAAAGCUCUUUCGCUUGGGAACAAGAAAGGGAAGUGAAUAACUUUCCAAUUUGAGGGUACCAGGUAAAGAAGCACCGGCUAACUACGUGCCAGCAGCUGCGGUAAUACGUAGGGUGCAAGCAUUAAUCGGAAUUAUUGGGCGUAAAGGGCGCGUAGGCGGAUUCGUAAGUCAGAUGUGAAAUUCCAAAGCUCACCUUUGGAGCUGCAUUUGAUACUGCGAAUCUCAGAGGAAUGGCGGAGAAAACGGAAUUCCACAUGUAGCGGUGAAAUGCGUGGAUAUGUGGAGGAACACCGGUGGCGAAAGCGGUUUUCUAGCUUUUUCCUGACGCUGAGGCGCGAGAGCAAGGGGAGCAAACAGGAUUAGAUACCCGCGUAGUCC
rnacentral:rRNA from 1 species